GCCGCCGCCGCCGCCGCCGCCAGGACUCUCAGAGCUGGUUUUAAUGGGCAGCUCCCUCUUCGCCGUCCCCCCCGUGUGUCCCCUCCCUCGAUUUCGCUCCGAGGACGAGAUGGACAUUUAUUCUACGUUUGCCAUCCGCCGCCUCCCUCUUUUUUCCUCCUCGUCGUUCUUCCUUUCCCCAGCUCGAAAAUAAACUGAAACCUUCUUUUGGAGGGGGGUGCGCGUGAGGAACAGACUGCGGGGGUGUCCAGAAGGAGCACCAGUGGGAGUGUGGACACCGGCCGGACUGUCAACUCCAGGGGCUAAAGGAACCCGCACACCCAGUGUUUUCUCCUUCGCAGUAAUCGAGAUCCCGCGCGGCGCAGCGCGGCCACCAGGAAUCGACGGGAUUUCUCUGGCUGUCGUUUGCGCUGCAUUUAUCCGAAUAAAUCCAGCUCGCAGACAUCCUGCAGGAAACGGCUCCCGGCUCGCGUGUACGCCGACACCUCGGCCCAACGCGGGACUCGAGGUGGCUCCUAGUGCCUGGGCGGCUGCUAGUCCGGCCUCCGAGGGAGGCUGGACAAGCGGCGCCCCCAGGUCGAGCGGCCUCUCACUGCCUGGCAGCCCCCAGCUCUGACGGUGCUUCGGAAACCCGCCUGGCCAGGUUCGCCCGCAGUGAAAAAUGAAAGCAAAUUCCCCUACAGAGGUAGCCCGAACUUUCCUUGACGAAGGCUCUCUCUUGAGCCUGGAUCUCGAAGAAACUCCAGAGCGCUGCAAGUUAGCAACAGAGAUUCGAUGGCGGCUCCGGAGGGCGCGCGAAGGGUGGGGCGAGGGGGCAAAAAGGACACUGGGUGACCCAGCCUGGCCCAGGGCGAAACGCAAGAGAAGGAGCCUCGCCUUCCUUAUUUCAAUGCAACUCCUCGGCCCUAGACGGUAAAAAUAGUUUCCAAGCUGCCGCGGACGCCCAGGAUGUGUUUGCAGAGAUCAAACUGGGGAGGAAGCGGCUUUGUAAAAGUUGCAGAAAGAUUAGCCCAGAAGCGUCCGCCCGGCGGGGCUCAAGAAAGCUUGGGGACAGCUUCACGUUCCUUGGGGCGGAAUGGCCCAAGAAUUGGCCUGGGUAACCCCCUGCCCAGUUCUCCGUGCUCACUUCGAGCCAGCGCUUAAAUAACUUCCCGCCGCCUGCCCUGCAAACUUCCAGGCGCGGCGCCGGCGAGGCCAGGACACAGCAAAGGCUAGCAAAACCCCGCCACGGCGCGCUCGGCCCCAGCCAUGAGAGUCUGCACGGGGUGGGAGAACCAGUGUGGUUUCCGCUCCCACUCGGCUGCCCAGACCCUCAAGACCGAUUCCCCCAACUCCUGGGAGCGGGUGCUUCCCUCUGGGAGUCGAGAUCUUGCGGGGCCGGCGAGGGCGCAAAGUGCGCUGCUAGCCAAGGCGCGGGGCGGCCGCGUCUCUCCGCGGGGCCUGUCGCCAGGCCGGCCGCGGCGGGUGAGUGAUGAGGGCAGAGAAGGGCGCCCAUAAAUCGCGGGUGUCAGGGCGAAAAACUCUCUUUAUUGUCUGCGUGAUGGAUGGGCCCGGGGACGAGACACCAAAUACUUCGUAUCGCCUUUAAAUGGGAACACAUUUUCCGCGGCCAUAAUUCAUGUUUUUUAAAUAGAAAGUUUGAAAUGUUG
ensembl:lncRNA